GAUGAACGCUGGCGGCGUGCCUAAUACAUGCAAGUCGAGCGAACGGACGAGAAGCUUGCUUUUCUGAUGUUAGCGGCGGACGGGUGAGUAACACGUGGAUAACCUACCUUUAAGACUGGGAUAACUUCGGGAAACCGGAGCUAAUACCGGAUAAUAUUUUGAACCGCAUGGUUCAAAAGUGAAAGACGGUCUUGCUGUCACUUAUAGAUGGAUCCGCGCUGCAUUAGCUAGUUGGUAAGGUAACGGCUUACCAAGGCAACGAUGCAUAGCCGACCUGAGAGGGUGAUCGGCCACACUGGAACUGAGACACGGUCCAGACCCCCACGGGAGGCAGCAGUAGGGAAUCUUCCGCAAUGGGCGAAAGCCUGACGGAGCAACGCCGCGUGAGUGAUGAAGGUCUUCGGAUCGUAAAACUCUGUUAUUAGGGAAGAACAUAUGUGUAAGUAACUGUGCACAUCUUGACGGUACCUAAUCAGAAAGCCACGGCUAACUACGUG
rnacentral:rRNA from 1 species